rnacentral:rRNA from 10 species
GUCAACAGCCAUGCCACCCUGAAUGCACCUGAUCUCAGAACCUAAGCAGGGUCUGGCCUGGUUAGUACUUGGAUGGGAGAAGUUGUGGAUG